UACGUAGGGGGCUAGCGUUAUCCGGAUUUACUGGGCGUAAAGGGUGCGUAGGCGGUCUUUCAAGUCAGGAGUGAAAGGCUACGGCUCAACCGUAGUAAGCUCUUGAAACUGUUAGACUUGAGUGCAGGAGAGGAGAGUGGAAUUCCUAGUGUAGCGGUGAAAUGCGUAGAUAUUAGGAGGAACACCAGUUGCGAAGGCGGCUCUCUGGACUGUAACUGACGAUGAGGCACGAAAGCGUGGGGAGCAAACAGG
rnacentral:rRNA from 1 species